GUUAGGAAUCUUCCACAAUGGGGGCAACCCUGAUGGAGCAACACCGCGUGCUGGAUGAAGGCCUUCGGGUCGUAAACAGCUUUUGUAUACGAAGAAUAUGACGGUAAUAUACGAAUAAGGGUCGGCUAACUACGUGCCAGCAGCCGCGGUCAUACGUAGGACCCAAGCGUUAUCCGGAGUGACUGGGCGUAAAGAGUUGCGUAGGCGGCUUAUUAAGCGAGUAGUGAAAUCUGGUGGCUCAACCAUCAACACAUUGCUCGAACUGAUAGGCUUGAGCAUGGUAGAGGUAGUUGGAAUUUCUUGUGUAGGAGUGAAAUCCGUAGAUAUAAGAAGGAACACCAAUGGCGUAGGCAGACUACUGGACCAUUUCUGACGCUGAGGCACGAAAGCGUGGGGAGCGAACCGGAUUAGAAACCCGGGUAGUCC
rnacentral:rRNA from 1 species